ensembl:snoRNA
AGGUCCAUUCUAAUUCCCUGCAGGUCAGUGCCAGUACCUGCUGGGUUUCGCUUGUGGACCACAUUAAACUGGGAGACUUCAAAAUAUAUGAGCUUACUGGUAGUCUGCUCAUUAACAUGGUUUUCUGGACAUGU